GGGGAGCUAAGGCGAGGCCGAAAGGCGUAGUCGAUGCACAUCAGGCGAACAUUCCUGAACCAAUGCGUAGAUCAAAUCGUUGUGCGCUUCGCAAGGAGCCGAGAAAAGCAACGAGGGCGAAACAUUGUCCGUACUAAAACUGACACAGGUAGGUGAGGAGAGUAUCCUCAGGCGCUCGAGAGAACUGCGGAUAAGGAACUAGGCAAUCUAUCCCCGUAGCUUCGGGAGAAGGGGCCCCUGAAACUUUUAUUAGAAUCAGGGCACAGAAACCAGGCUGGGCAACUGUUUAUCAAAAACACAGCUCCGUGCUAACUCGCAAGAGGAUGUAUACGGAGUGACGCCUGCUCGGUGCCGGAAGGUCAAGGAAGUCGGUCAGAGGUUCGCCUCGAAGCUGACGACUUAAGCCCCGGUAAACGGCGGCCGUAACUAUGACGGUCCUAAGGUAGCGAAGUUCCUUGUCGGGUAAGUGCCGACGUGCAUGAACGGCGUAAUGACUUGGCCGCUGUCUCGUCCGCAGACUCGGUGAAAUUGAAGUGGCGGUGUAGAUACCGCCUUCCCGUAGCAAGACGGAAAGACCCCAUGCACCUUUACUAUAUCCUGGUACUGAUGCCGGUUAUUGACUGCGUAGGAUAGGUGGGAGGCGUUGAUCCCUCGGUUCAGGCCGAGGGGGAGCCAACGGUGAAAUACCACCCUGUUUGUAAUCGUCAUCUCACCCUGAUCCCGUGAAUCCGGGCAGGGAACCGUGCUAGGUGGUUAGUUUGACUGGGGCGGUCUCCUCCAAAAGAGUAACGGAGGACUGCAAAGGCCCGCUCAGGACGGUUGGCAACCGUCCGUCGAGCGCAUAGGUAUAAGCGGGCUUGACUGCGAGUGCUACGGCACGAGCAGAGAUGAAAGUCGGUCUAAGUGAUCCUGUGGUCCUGUGUGGAAGGGCCAUAGCUCAAGGGAUAAAAGGUACGCUGGGGAUAACAGGCUGAUCGCACCCGAGCGCCCAUAGCGGCGGUGCGGUUUGGCACCUCGAUGUCGGCUCAUCACAUCCUGGGGCUGAAGGCGGUCCCAAGGGUUUGGCUGUUCGCCAAUUAAAGUGGUACGCGAGCUGGGUUCAGACCGGCGUGAGCCAGGUCGGUCCCUAUCUGCAACGGGCGUAGGAAUCUUGACGGCAACCCUUUCCUAGUACGAGAGGAUUGGAAAGGACGGACCCCUGGUGUACCAGUUGUCAUUCGUGGCACCGCUGGGUAGCCAUGUCCGGAACGGAUAAACGCUGAAAGCAUCUAAGCGUGAAGCCAGUGCCGAGAUUACGAUUCCCUAAGACCCCCCGUAGACUACGGGGUUGAUAGGCCGGAGCUGUAAGAAUAGUAAUAUUUUCAGGUCACCGGUACUAACGGUCGUUCACUUGAUC
rnacentral:rRNA from 1 species